rnacentral:rRNA from 1 species
CGUAGGGGGCAAGCGUUGUCCGGAAUCAUUGGGCGUUAAAGAGCGGUGUAGGGCGGUCCGGUAAGUCGGUUGUGAAAGUCCAGGGGCUCAACCCUGGGAUGCCGAUCGAUACUGUCGGACUAGACGUUCGGAAGAGGCGAGUGGAAUUCCCGGUGUAGCGGUGAAAUGCGCAGAUAUCGGGAGGAACACCAAUGGCGAAGGCAGCUCGCUGGGACGUCACUGACGCUGAGACGCGAAAGCGUGGGGAGCAAACAGGAUUAGAUACCCUGGUAGUCCACGCCGUAAACGAUGGGCACUAGGUGUGGGAGGUGUCGACUCCUCCCGUGCCGGAGCUAACGCAUUAAGUGCCCCGCCUGGGGAGUACGGCCGCAAGGCUA